rnacentral:rRNA from 1 species
UACAGAGGGGGCAAGCGUUAUUCGGAAUUAUUGGGCGUAAAGGGCGCGUAGGCGGCCUGGCAAGUGGAAGGUGAAAUCCCUCGGCUUAACCGAGGAACUGCCCUCCAAACUGCUUGGCUUGAGUCCGGGAGAGGUGAGUGGAAUUCCCAGUGUAGCGGUGAAAUGCGUAGAUAUUCGGAAGAACACCAGUGGCGAAGGCGGCUCACUGGCCCGGUACUGACGCUGAGGUGCGAAAGCGUGGGGAGCAAACAGG